rnacentral:rRNA from 1 species
GACGAACGCUGGCGGCGUGCCUAACACAUGCAAGUCGAGCGGGGAUUUAAGUGGAAGUUCUUCGGAAUGGAGAUUUAAAUUCUAGCGGCGGACGGGUGAGUAACGCGUGAACAAUCUGUCCCGGACAGGGGGAUAACACUUGGAAACAGGUGCUAAUACCGCAUAAGACCACGGCCUCGCAUGGGGCUGAGGUAAAAGGAGCAAUCCGGUUCGGGGUGAGUUCGCGUCCGAUUAGCUAGUUGGUGAGGUAACGGCCCACCAAGGCGACGAUCGGUAGCCGGCCUGAGAGGGUGAACGGCCACAUUGGAACUGAGAGACGGUCCAAACUCCUACGGGAGGCAGCAGUGGGGAAUAUUGGGCAAUGGGCGAAAGCCUGACCCAGCAACGCCGCGUGAGGGAAGAAGGUUUUCGGAUUGUAAACCUCUGUCCUAUGGGACGAAGGAAGUGACGAUACCAUAGGAGGAAGCCCCGGCUAACUACGUG